rnacentral:lncRNA from 1 species
ACUAGCAACCAUCUCAACCAAAUGUCUUCAGUUCUACCAUUAUUAGCCAUGUAGGCUGUCAAGAAUUGAGAUAUAUGGUGAUCGAGAUCAGAGCCUAGCUUACCACUAAAAGUAGGUAAUGGUGCCACACUUAUAGUUCGGUCUUCUACUACUCCAAUUUGUACUGCAAUUGGUACUUCUGGCUUUUCCGCGGCCAUUGGUGUUAUCAUUACUCUCCUUACUAUUUGAAUAUGAAUUUUUCUUCCUUUGAUUUUUCUUGGACCUGCAAUUCUUUUUUGUCAUUCCCAUAGGCUAUUUCUUAUGCGUAAUCACUCCUUUCUUUCUUUUGCUU